UUUGAUGAAAUUCAUUUGAAGGACCAAAUCAUGAGGAAGUCUAUUUUUUAGAAUUAUGUACUAGUAUAUCCAUGUCUUGUAGAUUCAUAGUUAACAUCACGACCCCUGAGUCCAGCUAGGGGAAGAUGCACUAUAUCCACCUGCGGGGUUUCAUUGUGGGGCACAUCACCAACAUGCAUCAUUUAGUGAUGUUGUCCACUUAGUCACUGAUGGGGAUCGUAGCACCUACCCUGUACACAGACAUUGAUGGGGAUCGUAGCACCUACCCUGUACACAGACAUUGAUGGGGAUCAUAGCACCUACCCUGUACACGGACAUUGAUGGGGAUCGUAGCACCUACCCUGCACACAGACAUUGAUGGGGAUCAUAGCACCUACCCUGCACACAGACAUUGAAUGGUUAUGGAGCUGCCUGGUCCAUUAUUAGAAUAGUGGGCGGCACUGUGCGUCCGAUCAGUGAAGUUUCUCGAGAAGCAUUACGAGGAACUUGUAUGAAUGGGCAGAAGAAAUGUUCAUGAAUCACCAGUCCAUCAUUGCCUACUGUUGUUGGAGGAUGAACACUUUAAUGAACAUUGAUGGAGUGUAGCAAUCAAUGGGAGCCCUCGUUUACCCUAAGAAGAGUCAGAGAACUCCUGGGCCUUCAUGAGAUCGUGACACCCUGCAGUAGGGGCAGUUCAUACCAGUAUCUCUUAAAAGCAGACAAAGGUUUUCUUAGCAUCUGAUCCAUUUCUGGGACAAACUUUUCUAUGGAGCUGGACGGUGGAGAUUUAGAUAAGUGGUGUGAUGUUAUUGAUGGUAAACAGAAGACUGUGACCUUGAAUCUGAAGAUCUGUGAUGAAGACUGGACGUUUGGGGUCACUCUGUUACAGUACUACAA